GCAUGCAGGCAUGAGUAGCGAUAAUUAAUGUGAGAAUCAUUAACGCCGUAAACCCAAGGUUUCCUACGCGAUGCUCGUCAUCGUAGGGUUAGUCGGGUCCUAAGUCGAGUCCGAAAGGGGUAGACGAUGGCAAAUUGGUUAAUAUUCCAAUACCAACAUUAGUGUGCGAUGGAAGGACGCUUAGGGCUAAGGGGGCUAGCGGAUGGAAGUGCUAGUCUAAGGUCGUAGGAGGUUGUACAGGCAAAUCCGUAUAACAAUACUCCGAGAACUGAAAGGCUUUUUGAAGUCUUCGGAUGGAUAGAAGAACCCCUGAUGCCGUCGAGCCAAGAAAAGUUUCUAAGUUUAGCUAAUGUUGCCCGUACCGUAAACCGACACAGGUGGGUGGGAUGAGUAUUCUAAGGCGCGUGGAAGAACUCUCUUUAAGGAACUCUGCAAAAUAGCACCGUAUCUUCGGUAUAAGGUGUGGUUAGCUUCGUACUAGGAUUUACUCCGAAAGCGAAGAAACUUACAACAAAGAGUCCCUCCCGACUGUUUACCAAAAACACAGCACUCUGCUAACUCGUAAGAGGAUGUAUAGGGUGUGACGCCUGCCCGGUGCUCGAAGGUUAAUUGAUGGGGUUAGCAUUAGCGAAGCUCUUGAUCGAAGCCCGAGUAAACGGCGGCCGUAACUAUAACGGUCCUAAGGUAGCGAAAUUCCUUGUCGGUUAAAUACCGACCUGCAUGAAUGGCGUAACGAGAUGGGAGCUGUCUCAAAGAGGGAUCCAGUGAAAUUGUAGUGGAGGUGAAAAUUCCUCCUACCCGCGGCAAGACGGAAAGACCCCGUGGACCUUUACUACAGCUUGACACUGCUACUUGGAUAAGAAUGUGCAGGAUAGGUGGGAGGCUUUGAGUAUAUGACGCCAGUUGUAUAUGAGCCAUUGUUGAGAUACCACUCUUUCUUAUUUGGGUAGCUAACCAGCUUGAGUUAUCCUCAAGUGGGACAAUGUCUGGUGGGUAGUUUGACUGGGGCGGUCGCCUCCCAAAUAAUAACGGAGGCUUACAAAGGUUGGCUCAGAACGGUUGGAAAUCGUUCGUAGAGUAUAAAGGUAUAAGCCAGCUUAACUGCAAGACAUACAAGUCAAGCAGAGACGAAAGUCGGUCUUAGUGAUCCGGUGGUUCUGUGUGGAAGGGCCAUCGCUCAAAGGAUAAAAGGUACCCCGGGGAUAACAGGCUGAUCUCCCCCAAGAGCUCACAUCGACGGGGAGGUUUGGCACCUCGAUGUCGGCUCAUCGCAUCCUGGGGCUGGAGCAGGUCCCAAGGGUAUGGCUGUUCGCCAUUUAAAGCGGUACGCGAGCUGGGUUCAGAACGUCGUGAGACAGUUCGGUCCCUAUCUGCCGUGGGCGUAAGAAGAUUGAAGAGAUUUGACCCUAGUACGAGAGGACCGGGUUGAACAAACCACUGGUGUAGCUGUUGUUCUGCCAAGAGCAUCGCAGCGUAGCUAAGUUUGGAAAGGAUAAACGCUGAAAGCAUCUAAGCGUGAAGCCAACUCUAAGAUGAAUCUUCUCUAAGCUCUCUAGAAGACUACUAGUUUGAUAGGCUGGGUGUGUAAUGGAUGAAAGUCCUUUAGCUGACCAGUACUAAUAGAGCGUUUGGCUUAUCUUU
rnacentral:rRNA from 1 species